UACAUACUCCAUACAUGGAAAUAAUAUAGACUGAUAUAGGAUCUCACUAACAAUGAAAAAUAUUAUGUGGGAUACAGGUUGUCAUGUGAUCCUAAAAAUUACUCUAAUCAAAUUGUAAUAAUAAAGAAAACUAAUAUAGGUCGACACAGAAUCACGCUGAUAAGAAAAAUAUUAUGAGUGAUACACAAAAUUAUUCUAAUAUAAGAGAUCAACUCUAUUUGAGGGAUAGAGGCCAGAAGAUAUGAAAUUAACGGUGUGAGGAGAACUAAAAGUAGAAUAUCUUGUUCUCAUCUAGUUAACAUACAAGAUAUUUAAGCAAUAAGCUACAAAAUUCCUUAGGAUUAGAAUACCCAAGAUUAUGUAGAAUAGUUUUAUGUUUUACAUAGAAUUAAACCUUACAUGUGAUCCUCAACUUUCUCCUCCUUUAUGUGUAAGCCAAUUUAUCUCUCUCUUGAGUCUACUACACUGCUACACUCGAAUCAAGCUUCCGGCUCAAUCACUCUUGAGUGCACCACGAUUACCACUCCAAUCAAGAACCCACUCUCCAAGAGUCACACUACAUUUCAUCUAGUGCGUUACCACUCCAAUCCAAGACUCCUGCUCUCUAAGAAUCCACUCUCCAAGAGUCAAAUCUCUUUCCUCCUUUGCAAAAUGUUAGAUAGGUAGUGCAAGUAGAGUAAAAAGUCUUUGCAAUUCUAGAUGCAGAAAAUUCCAUAAUAAGGAUGCAUGGUGGAUAUCAAAUCUAUUUUCUUUUUUCCCUCCCGUUUUAAUUUUAUUGAUACCUCAACAUGCAAAUAAGACUUUUUUAGAUUUUAAAUCUUAAGUGCUUCUUCACAAUCUUGUAUAAUAUUCAUAUUAUUUGUCUUCACAUAAUCUUUCACUACAACAAAUGUUGGUUUUUCCGACUAACUUUUUCCGACGCUAGGGGAAAGCGUCGGUAAAGUUUGGCUCAGCGCCAACCUUUUCCGACGCUUUGGGUUAGCGUUGGAAAAGCGAAACAAACAACGACGCUCUAAAGCGUCGUUAUAAGUUUGAGAAACAACGACGCUUAUAAGCGUCGUUAGAAAACUUAAAACCCCAACACCUCGCUCGAUCGGCCCCCUCUUCUCAUUUUCUAUCUGCAACGACGCUCUAAAGCGUCGUUAUAAGUUUAAGAAACAACGACGCCUAUAAGCGUCGUUAGAAAACUUAAAACUCCAACACCUCGCUCGAUCGGCCCCCUCUCCUCAUUUCCUAUCUGCGAGCCCUAGCCCCUCUCCUCAUUUCCUAUCUGCGAGCGCGCCGACUUCUCCGCUGCCGUGGACCUCUCCUUCUGAGGUAAGCCCUAGCUCGAUCGGCCCCCUCUCCUUCUGAGCCCUAAUCUCACCUCUAUCCCUAGCCCCGAUCGGCGAUCGAAGACUCCGCUACUCCGCCGUCGUCGACCUUGCCGUCGUCUGAGCUGCGCGCCGACAUCUCACCUCCAUCCCGAGCGAGCCGUAGCUACUCCGCCACCGUCGACAUCGCCGUCGUCUGAGAUUACAAUAUGCCGCGAGGAAAACGUUUUAGAAAUAUUGAGUUUCAGCACACAUCCGUGGGAUCUACUUUUGAUCGUUCCCAGCAGCCCGAUGAGCCCCAUACUCAGUCCGGGUCCCAGUCUGAGCAUGCCCCACCUGCUGAUCGUCCAGACACGGAUGAUGUGGACGUCCUGGAUGGACUGAGGAGAGUGAGGAGAACACGAGGGCCCACUCGAGCACGGGACGUAUGGAGCCUACCUGAGGAUGAGAAGAUUGUCGUCCAUUGCAACGAACUGGGGCAGCCCAUCAAGAAUACUGCAAGCAUUUUAUCCACUUUUUUAGGAUCAGUUGCGCGGAAGGGACAAUUGUGUCCGCUCAACUAUACGAAAUGGAAUGAAAUGCUUCCUUCGUAUAAGAUUUAGCUUCUUAGAAUUGUUGAGGUAAAGAAUUGAAGUUGCUUACU